GAAACAUCUAAGUACCCCGAGGAAAAGAAAUCAACCGAGAUUCCCCCAGUAGCGGCGAGCGAACGGGGAGGAGCCCAGAGCCUGAAUCAGCAUGUGUGUUAGUGGAAGCGUCUGGAAAGGCGCGCGAUACAGGGUGACAGCCCCGUACACAAAAGCGCAUGUGCUGUGAGCUCGAUGAGUAGGGCGGGACACGUGGUAUCCUGUCUGAAUAUGGGGGGACCAUCCUCCAAGGCUAAAUACUCCUGACUGACCGAUAGUGAACCAGUACCGUGAGGGAAAGGCGAAAAGAACCCCGGCGAGGGGAGUGAAAAAGAACCUGAAACCGUGUACGUACAAGCAGUGGGAGCACCCUUCGGGGUGUGACUGCGUACCUUUUGUAUAAUGGGUCAGCGACUUAUAUUCUGUAGCAAGGUUAACCGUAUAGGGGAGCCGGAGGGAAACCGAGUCUUAAUUGGGCGUUAAGUUGCAGGGUAUAGACCCGAAACCCGGUGAUCUAGCCAUGGGCAGGUUGAAGGUUGGGUAACACUAACUGGAGGACCGAACCGACUAAUGUUGAAAAAUUAGCGGAUGACCUGUGGCUGGGGGUGAAAGGCCAAUCAAACCGGGAGAUAGCUGGUUCUCCCCGAAAGCUAUUUAGGUAGCGCCUCGUGAAUUCAUCUCCGGGGGUAGAGCACUGUUUCGGCUAGGGGGCCAUCCCGGCUUACCAACCCGAUGCAAACUGCGAAUACCGGAGAAUGUUAUCACGGGAGACACACGGCGGGUGCUAACGUCCGUCGUGAAGAGGGAAACAACCCAGACCGCCAGCUAAGGUCCCAAAGUCAUGGUUAAGUGGGAAACGAUGUGGGAAGGCCCAGACAGCCAGGAUGUUGGCUUAGAAGCAGCCAUCAUUUAAAGAAAGCGUAAUAGCUCACUGGUCGAGUCGGCCUGCGCGGAAGAUGUAACGGGGCUAAACCAUGCACCGAAGCUGCGGCAGCGAACGUAUCACCCAAGACAACUUUACGGAGUUGACGAUUGACGGAGCGAAGCGACGUCAAAGCGUUCAUUAAAGUCGAGUUGGCUUAGGGAUACGUUCGUUGGGUAGGGGAGCGUUCUGUAAGCCUGUGAAGGUGUGUCGUGAGGCAUGCUGGAGGUAUCAGAAGUGCGAAUGCUGACAUAAGUAACGAUAAAGCGGGUGAAAAGCCCGCUCGCCGGAAGACCAAGGGUUCCUGUCCAACGUUAAUCGGGGCAGGGUGAGUCGACCCCUAAGGCGAGGCCGAAAGGCGUAGUCGAUGGGAAACGGGUUAAUAUUCCCGUACUUGGUGUUACUGCGAAGGGGGGACGGAGAAGGCUAUGUUGGCCGGGCGACGGUUGUCCCGGUUUAAGCGUGUAGGUGUGUGUUCCAGGUAAAUCCGGUUCACUUUAACACUGAGGCGUGACGACGAGGCACUACGGUGCUGAAGCAACAAAUGCCCUGCUUCCAGGAAAAGCCUCUAAGCAUCAGGUAACAUCAAAUCGUACCCCAAACCGACACAGGUGGUCAGGUAGAGAAUACCAAGGCGCUUGAGAGAACUCGGGUGAAGGAACUAGGCAAAAUGGUGCCGUAACUUCGGGAGAAGGCACGCUGACACGUAGGUGAAGUGAUUUACUCAUGGAGCUGAAGUCAGUCGAAGAUACCAGCUGGCUGCAACUGUUUAUUAAAAACACAGCACUGUGCAAACACGAAAGUGGACGUAUACGGUGUGACGCCUGCCCGGUGCCGGAAGGUUAAUUGAUGGGGUCAGCGCAAGCGAAGCUCCUGAUCGAAGCCCCGGUAAACGGCGGCCGUAACUAUAACGGUCCUAAGGUAGCGAAAUUCCUUGUCGGGUAAGUUCCGACCUGCACGAAUGGCGUAAUGAUGGCCAGGCUGUCUCCACCCGAGACUCAGUGAAAUUGAACUCGCUGUGAAGAUGCAGUGUACCCGCGGCAAGACGGAAAGACCCCGUGAACCUUUACUAUAGCUUGACACUGAACAUUGAGCCUUGAUGUGUAGGAUAGGUGGG
rnacentral:rRNA from 1 species